rnacentral:tRNA from 2 species
AGGGGUAUAGCUCAGUUGGUAGAGCGGCGGUCUCCAAAACCGCAGGUCGCGGGUUCAAGUCCUGCUGCCCCUGCCG